UUUGAUGCAAGCAGAACCAACAGUUCACA
rnacentral:piRNA from 1 species